UAACAUUGCGGGUGUGCUUAUGCAUGCAAGUCGAACGGUCUUGAUUUAUCAAGAUAGUGGCGAACGGGUGAGUAACGCGUAAGUAACCUGCCCUCAAGUAGGGGAUAACUCUGAGAAAUUAGAGCUAAUACCGUAUGUGGUGGUAGGGGUAAUGCCCUAUUACUAAAGCCUUAGGGCGCUUGGGGAGGGGCUUGUGUCCGAUUAGCUAGUUGGUAGGGUAACGGCUUACCAAGGCGAUGAUCGGUAGCUGGUUUGAGAGGACGGCCAGCCACACUGGGACUGAGACACGGCCCAGACUCCUACGGGAGGCAGCAGCAAGGAAUAUUGUGCAAUGGGCGAAAGCCUGACACAGCGACACCGCGUGGGGGAUGAAGGCCUUCGGGUUGUAAACCCCUUUUCUCAGGGAAGAAUAAUGACGGUACCUGAGGAAUAAGUCUCGGCUAACUACGUGCCAGCAGCCGCGGUAAGACGUAGGAGGCGAGUGUUAUCCGGAUUUACUGGGCGUAAAGAGGGCGUAGGCGGCUUUUCAAGUCGGAUGUAAAAUCUCCUGGCUUAACUAGGAGGGGUCAUUCGAUACUGUUAGGCUAGAGGGCAGCAGAGGGAGGUGGAAUUCCCGGUGUAGUGGUGAAAUGCGUAGAUAUCGGGAGGAACACCAGUGGCUAAAGCGGCCUCCAAGGCUGUUUCUGACGCUGAGGCCCGAAGGCGUGGGGAGCGAACAGGAUUAGAUACUCUGGUAGUCCACGCUGUAAACGAUGGAUACUAGGUAUGGGGGUAUUGACCCCCUCCGUGCCGAAGCUAACGCGUUAAGUAUCCCGCCUGGGGACUACGGCCGCAAGGCUAAAACUACAAAGAAUUGACGG
rnacentral:rRNA from 1 species